AAAGCCUCAGCAGGUCAGAUCCCAGCCCAGCAGGAGAACACACAGACCCUGUAUUACUAGAAGUUCUUAAUAACAGGCAUCUACUUUGUCAUAAUGGAUGUAAGAGAAAACUUCUACCCUGGUGCCAGAGCAAUUUUACUGAAGGAAGAUUCAACAAAAACUGCAGGGAUCUGUUCUCAUUACUAAUCUUUUCAGAGUCUUUAUGCCCCUUAUUCCUAAGUUUCCCAAUUCUGCAUUUCAGAUUUUUACUCUAAAGGAAGGGUGUGGUACAACAGGGAAGAAUCCAUCACUGUUAGAGACAAGAAAGCCUGAAACAAUUAGAGGAAAAAUCUAUGAUCUGGCAAGGUGUAAAUCUGAGUGUGGCAUCCUGGUUUUUGACAUCAUGCUUCAAGACAGAUGCAACCAGCUGGAAUGAGUACACAAGACAGCAAUAAGAAAGAUCAGAUGUCUGGAAACACAUUCUACAGGAGAAGAUGAAAGACACUGGGGCUGUUUAGUCUAAAGAAAUCGAGGAGAAGACAGGCUCAAGUUGUCAAGGAUGUUUUAUACAACGCCACAGAAGAAGAAAUAGUUCUACUGAAAUACCACAUGAAAUGGUAAUGUGUAUGGGAAAAAUCUACAUGUUUUCUAACUAUCAAUUUAUUUAGUUUGGAAACGUAUGUCAUGACUUACAAGAAUUUACCAACAGCUACAGUAGAAAUUAGGUAGCAGGACAAUCUGUUCCACUGCAGUCUGAAGGAUACCGAACAGCUGUGACAACAGAUUCAAUUCUGCUAUGCUGGCAACAGGAACAAGGACAGGGCAAGAGGAGAAAUGAAACCUGAAAGCACAGGAUCAAACACUGGAGAUCCAUAUAACUAAAAUAACUCCGUAACAGAAAAUCACAGAGAACAUCAACAUUUCAUUAUUUGACAAUAAUUAAACAGGAUGUCAAUGUGAAAAUAAUAUCUUCAAGCACUUCUCUCAAUGGGAUACUUUCAGCAGGUGGCACAUAAAGAAAGCCUGAAAUCAUCUGGAUGUACAUCUUGGACAGCCUUACUUUUUUCCAGUGUCCUCAGGGAUUUCCAUGUGAAUGGCUGCUCUCCCAGUUUCAAAUUAACCGCAGCACUGUAAUGCACUGUUGUGUCCUUGCACAAAAAAAAGUUUUUAUACAGGUGGAUUUGCCAGGUGGUUCUGCAGGUAGACAGAAAUUCAGCUGCAAAACUGACUACACCAAAAUGGAAGGAUGGGCAAAAUCAAAGCACAAAAAACAGGCAAAAAAAAAAUCUGAUUUCAGGUAAUAAAGGAAUCUAGCAGAGGAGAAUAAAGGGGACAGAAUAAGUGCAUAUUCUAAGCAAACUCUCCCACCACAACACUAACUUGAGUUUAUGCUGCUAUCUUCUAGCACUACUAACUGAUGGUGAGAUAUCAGAUUGCCCUUACAGAAUUUCAAAAUUCCAUGAUUGCAACAUUGAGUUAUUUUUGGGCUUACCUCCUCUAUACUGUCAACUCAAAAGAUGCCUGUAAUUUAUCUCCAAAGCACACACAGAAAUAACAAGCCUUUACCAGAAAUUCACUGGUCUGCCAGCAUCUCCGAGCUUAGCUAACUGAACAGACAGACUUUGUACAUUUCUACACAUGCAGGCUUACCAACUGAGCACUAAACCAUCCAGACACCACAUAAUUGUGGUAAGCAUAGCCCCAAGCCCACAUGUAUCAUUCCUGCCGAGAAGCAGGACAUCUUAAUCACCUAGCAGUGUGCUCCAUACUAACAGCAGCUAUGGAGCUCCUACUCGGUUCAGCAAAAAAGCAAGUCCACACCUAUAUAUAAUUUUCUUUUAAAGUGGAUACAUCCACAUUCACCCUGCUCCUGUCAUAAAUGCAUUUCACUGCAAAUACGUUCCACUCUUGAGGGGUUCAUGCAGUUGAAAGAAGCAAUGAACCUGGUCUGAGUUUGAGUAUUAGAGGGAAAAAAAAAAAGGAGGGGGAUACAGAAAGGUAUAUUUAGUUCCAAUUCAUCAUGCUGCUCUACAGUCGUAUCAAUUUACAGGAUGCACCAGGAAAAGAGGAAAAACAGCAGCUACAUAAACAGCCAUUACUGCAGAGGGAAACAUUCCUGACAACCACAGCCCAACUAGUUGAAAAUAACUUCAACCAGCUUAACACAUAUUCCUCUAGAAAUGCAAGGUUUCUCAAAAAAACCUUUGCACAUCCAGCCAAAUAAGGCACGGAAUAAAAAAACGCCACCUAAGAGCAAACUAAAAAGUUGACCACAGUGAAAGACCAUAAGUAAGGCACACGAGAGAUGAUGCAUGGAAGCAAAGUAAAGCAGCAGUCAGACAGAACAAUGCACUUGGUUGGGGUCAUGGCUUGAAACAGAUUUAAGAAGCGUGAAUCAUGCAACAAGAAAUACAUAAAAUCAUUUUUAAAAAUCCGUCUCAAGACCCAAAAAUGUUGUUUUACUUUAACAUUUUGGGGUGGUUGUUUCUUAAGAGUGUUUAGUAGGUAUUGUAGCUAGAUCAGGAGAGGAAAGGGAACAACAACACGCGUAUCCGCGAUCACGCUAUGGAUCUAUCACCCACAGAGCUCCUCCAUGAUCCACAGCCUGUCAUAAGCUCUCACCAGAGGAUUACUGUAGCGUGGGGGCUUGCCCAUCA